rnacentral:rRNA from 1 species
UCACAUCCGAGGCCUUGUAAUUGGAAUGAGUACACUUUAAAUCCUUUAACCAGGAUCAAUUAGAGGGCAAGUCUGGUGCCAGCAGCCGCGGUAAUUCCAGCUCUAAUAGCGUAUAUUAAAGUUGUUGCGGUUAAAACGUUCGUAGUUGAACUUGUGUUUCGCAUGGGCAAUUACCUAGGACUAGGACACUAGGACGGUAUUUUGUCUUAUUAGUGCGUGAACGUAUUAUCGGCGUGUUCACAUAUGCCCGUUUCAGUGCUCUUAAUCGAGUGUUGUUGUGGGCCGAUACAAAUUACUUUGAACAAAUUAGAGUGCUUAAAGCAGGCUUUAAAUGCCUGAAUAUUUGUGCAUGGAAUAAUGAAAUAGGACAUCUGUUCUACUUUCAUUGGUUUUUUAGACCAAGAUGUAAUGAUUAAUGGAAGCAGUUGGGGGCAUUAGUAUUACAACGCGAGAGGUGAAAUUCUUAGACCGUUGUAAGACUGACUAAAGCGAAAGCAUUUGCCAAAGAUGUUUUCAUUUAAUCAAGAACGAAAGUUAGAGGUUCGAAGGCGAUCAGAUACCGCCCUAGUUCUAACCAUAAACGAUGCCAGCUAGCAAUUGAAUGUAGCUACUUCUAUGGCUCUUUCAGUCGCUUCUCGGGAAACCAAAGCUUUUGGGCUCCGGGGGAAGUAUGGUUGCAAAGCUGAAACUUAAAGGAAUUGACGGAAGGGCACCACCAGGAGUGGAGCCUGCGGCUUAAUUUGACUCAACACGGGAAAACUUACCAGGUCCGAACAUAAAUGAGUAAGACAG